rnacentral:rRNA from 1 species
AACGGUAACGCGGGGGCAACCCUGGCGACGAGUGGCGAACGGGUGAGUAAUACAUCGGAACAUGUCCUGGAGUGGGGGAUAGCUCGGCGAAAGCCGGAUUAAUACCGCAUACGCUCUGAGGAGGAAAGCGGGGGACCUUUCGGGGCCUCGCGCUGCAGGAGUGGCCGAUGUCGGAUUAGCUAGUUGGUGGGGUAAAGGCCCACCAAGGCGACGAUCCGUAGCUGGUCUGAGAGGAUGAUCAGCCACACUGGGACUGAGACACGGCCCAGACUCCUACGGGAGGCAGCAGUGGGGAAUUUUGGACAAUGGGGGCAACCCUGAUCCAGCCAUGCCGCGUGAGUGAAGAAGGCCUUCGGGUUGUAAAGCUCUUUCGGACGGAACGAAAUGGUUACGGUGAAUAUCCGUGACUGAUGACGGUACCGUAAUAAGAAGCACCGGCUAACUACGUGCCAGCAGCCGCGGUAAUACGUAGGGUGCGAGCGUUAAUCGGAAUUACUGGGCGUAAAGCGUGCGCAGGCGGUUCGCCAAGUCAGGUGUGAAAUCCCCGG